rnacentral:lncRNA from 1 species
GGCAAACACAUAACAGUAAUCAUUUUAGCUAGUUCUUCACGAUCCUUAUUUGGAUCGUAAUACAAUAUACCUCCGGUGACUGUGUUUAUUCCUGGUUGAGCUAGAUUAGAACCAGUACUUGGGUUAACAGUUGUUUCAGGACUUGCCCUCCCCUCUUGUUGCGCUAUCAAUUGUAUAUAUCUAGCCUUAUCGCUAGGGUGUAAUUUUAUAUGUUUAACUAAACUACCUGUGCCGCUACGAUCUCCAGUAUACCUAUACACAAGUAAUUUCCAACAAGAUUUAGCCUUAUUUUGUUCUCUUAGUUGAAUAAAAAAUUGCCAAACUAAUGAAGUUUCUGAACGUUUAGGAGGUUGUCCACUAAAAGUGGGAGUUUGUACGGGUGGGUGUUCCGGUUCAUUAGUAGCAGGACUAGUAGGUGUAUCAUCUAAAUCUACCGGAGCUUGGGUUUCANNNNNN